AUUGAACGCUGGCGGCAGGCCUAACACAUGCAAGUCGAACGGUAACAGGAAGAAGCUUGCUUCUUUGCUGACGAGUGGCGGACGGGUGAGUAAUGUCUGGGAAACUGCCUGAUGGAGGGGGAUAACUACUGGAAACGGUAGCUAAUACCGCAUAACGUCGCAAGCACAAAGAGGGGUACCUUCGGGCCUCUUGCCAGCGGAUGUGCCCAGAUGGGAUUAGCUAGUAGGUGGGGUAACGGCUCACCUAGGCGACGAUCCCUAGCUGGUCUGAGAGGAUGACCAGCCACACUGGAACGGAGACACGGUCCAGACGCCUACGGGAGGCAGCAGUGGGGAAUAGUGCACAAUGGGCGCAAGCCUGAUGCAGCCAUGCCGCGUGUAUGAAGAAGGCCUUCGGGUUGUAAAGUACUUUCAGCGGGGAUGAAGGGAGUAAAGUUAAUACCUUGGCUCAUUGACGUUACCCGCAGAAGAAGCACCGGCUAACUCCGUG
rnacentral:rRNA from 1 species